rnacentral:rRNA from 1 species
AUACGUAUGGGGCAAGCGUUGUCCGGAAUUAUUGGGCGUAAAGGGUACGUAGGCGGUUAUUUAAGUCUAAAUUAAAAGGCAUUGGCUCAACCAAUGUAAGGUUUAGAUACUGGGUAACUUGAGUAGAUGAGGGGAAAGUGGAAUUCCAUGUGUAGCGGUGAAAUGCGUAGAUAUAUGGAGGAACACCAAUGGCGAAGGCAACUUUCUGGAAUCAAACUGACGCUGAGGUACGAAGGCGUGGGGAGCAAACAGGAUUAGAUACCCUGGUAGUCCACGCAGUAAACGAUGAGUGCUAGAUGUUGGGAGUCAAAUCUCAGUGUCGCAGCUAACGCAAUAAGCACUCCGCCUGGGGAGUACGUACGCAAGUAUGAA